UACGUAGGGACCGAGCGUUGUUCGGAUUUACUGGGCGUAAAGCGCGUGUAGGCGGCUUGGCAAGUUGAAUGUGAAAGCCCACGGCUCAACCGUGGAAGCGCAUCCAAAACUGCUUCGCUGGAGUCUCGGAGAGGAAGGUGGAAUGCUUGGUGUAGAGGUGAAAUUCGUAGAUAUCAAGCAGAACACCUGCGGCGAAGGCGGCCUUCUGGACGAUGACUGACGCUGAGACGCGAAAGCGUGGGGAGCGAACAGG
rnacentral:rRNA from 1 species